rnacentral:rRNA from 1 species
UACGUAGGUGGCAAGCGUUGUCCGGAUUUACUAGGCGUAAAGAGCGCGCAGGCGGUCGUUCAAGUCGCGUGUGAAAGCCCCCGGCUCAACUGGGGAGGGUCACGCGAUACUGAUCGACUCGAAGGCAGGAGAGGGUAGUGGAAUUCCCGGUGUAGUGGUGAAAUGCGUAGAUAUCGGGAGGAACACCAGUGGCGAAGGCGACUACCUGGCCUGUUCUUGAC